UCCAACACAAAUCGGCAAAUCGACCUCCCCAAUUACCUGCCUUCGAGAACCAUCGAAAGCUCUAACGAUCAAUGCACUGGUUCUCAUCUCGGGCCCCUUAAACUAUAACUGACUUAAUGUAGAUUUUGGCAGUACAUUAAGCGAGGAUCCAGUAUCAACAAGGACUCGGGAUAAGAGAGAGUCCGUACAUGUGACCGAAAUAUGUAGUGCUUUGUUGUGAGCCUUUCCCUUAGGAGGUAACUCUGCUUCAU
rnacentral:lncRNA from 1 species